CCUACGGGAGGCAGCAGUGGGGAAUAUUGGACAAUGGGCGAAAGCCUGAUCCAGCCAUGCCGCGUGUGUGAAGAAGGCCUUCGGGUUGUAAAGCACUUUCAGUGGGGAAGAAAGCCUUGGGGCUAAUACCCUCGAGGAAGGACAUCACCCACAGAAGAAGCACCGGCUAACUCCGUGCCAGCAGCCGCGGUAAUACGGAGGGUGCGAGCGUUAAUCGGAAUUACGGGGCGUAAAGCGCGCGUAGGCGGUCUGAUAAGCCGGUUGUGAAAGCCCCGGGCUCAACCUGGGAACGGCAUCCGGAACUGUCAGGCUAGAGUGCAGGAGAGGAAGGUAGAAUUCCCGGUGUAGCAGUGAAAUGCGUAGAGAGCGGGAGGAAUACCAGUGGCGAAGGCGGCCUUCUGGACUGACACUGACGCUGAGGUGCGAAAGCGUGGGUAGCAAACAGGAUUAGAUACCCCGGUAGUC
rnacentral:rRNA from 1 species